GCCACUGUGGUGGAAAGGGUAGACACGCCAGAUUUAAAAUUUGGAGACAAUAUGAGUUCGAAUCUCAUCAGUGGUA
rnacentral:tRNA from 1 species